rnacentral:rRNA from 1 species
CCUGGCUCAGAUUGAACGCUGGCGGCAUGCCUUACACAUGCAAGUCGAACGGGAUUAAGGGGCUUGCUCCUUAAUCUAGUGGCGAACGGGUGAGUAAUGCAUCGGAACGUACCCAGAAGUGGGGGAUAACGUAGCGAAAGUUACGCUAAUAACCGCAUAUUCUCUGAGGAGGAAAGCAGGGGAUCGCAAGACCUUGCGCUUUUGGAGCGGCCGAUGUUGGAUUAGCUAGUUGGUGGGGUAAAGGCCCACCAAGGCUACGAUCCAUAGCUGGUCUGAGAGGAUGAUCAGCCACACUGGGACUGAGACAGGCCCAGACUCCUACGGGAGGCAGCAGUGGGGAAUUUUGGACAAUGGGCGAAAGCCUGAUCCAGCCAUGCCGCGUGAGUGAAGAAGGCCUGGUGUAAGC